AUCACAGCACUAUUUAUCUAAAUGAUACCUCUCAUUAGAACACUUCUUACCAGUGGGAGGUAAAGGGCAGGGAUUGACUAGCAAGGGGCAUAAGGGAAUUUUCUGAAGAGCAGUAUAUGGUUUUUUUUGACAGUUUGUGUUACACAGGUAUAUGCACUUGUAAAAAUUUACCAAAUAUUGUACUUAAGAUCUGUGCAUUUUAUUGUAUGUACAUUUUAAAUACAAAAAAGCUAUAGAACAAUACUGAAUACUAAUGAUGAACAUACUAAAAUGUUUAGUGGUGAUGUCUACAACUUACUCUGAAAUGCAUAAAAAAUAGGAUUGAUGGAUGGUUAAGUGGAUAGCUAUAUGAUACAGUAAAUAUAACAAAAUGUUCUAGAAUUAAUUGGUAAAUGUAAAAGUUCACUGUGUAAUUCUUUCAACUUUUCUGUAUGUUUGAACAAUUUCACAAAAUAUUAGGGGGCAGGGAGUAUUGCCUCUACUUUUUUCCUUCUUUUCUUUCUUUCUGAGAUUUCAAUUAGUCAUAUGUGUGACUUUCUUAUCCAAGCUUCCAUCUCUUAAUAUUGUUUUCAUAUUUUUACUUCCUUGUCUCUCCUUAGUAUACCCUGGGUAAUUUUUAAAGAUAUCUUCUCAUUUAUUUUUUAAGAGACAAGGUCUCCCUCAGUCGCCCAAGCUGGAGCACAGUGGCAUAAUCAUAGCACUCUGAAGCCUCAAACUCCUGGGCUCAAGUCAUGCUCUGCUUUAGCCUUUUGAGUAGCUAGGACUACAGGCAUACACUAACAUGCCCAGCUAAUUUUUAAACUUUUUUGUAGAGACAGGGUCUCACCAUGUUGUCCAGGUUGGUCUUGAACUCCUAGCCUCAAGUGAUCGUCUCACCUCGGCCUCCCAAAGUGCUGGGAUUAUAGGCAUGAGCCACCUCAGUGGCUUCAUUUAUUAAUUCUCUCUUCAUCUGUAUCAAAUUUGCUCUUUAACCUUUCCACUGAGUUUUGUUAUUCUAACAAUUAUAUUUUAUAUUUCUAGAGCAUCUCCCCAUCUCCCAACUACCUUCCAACCUGUCUGUCCAUUCCUGGUAAUCUCUUGCUCAUCUUUAUAACAUCCUUUACCUUUUAAAAUAUUCAGAACACAGAAAUUCUAUACUUUUCAUAUCUGUCAAUUCCACUACCUACAGUCCUUGGAGUUACACAUCUACUGAAGUUUAUUUCUGCAGACACUCAUAGCAGUUUGGCUUUUUGGUGUAUUUUUCUCUGUGUGCUACAGCUUGAAUAGCUUCUAUUGCUAUGUCUUCAAGGUCAUCAAUCUUUUCUUCUACAUUAAAUUUGCUUUAAGCUCCUACAGUGAUUUAAAUUUUUUUCAGAUAUUGCAUUACAUAAGUCUAAAAGCUGCAUUUCAUUGUUUUUCAUAUCUUCAUUUUUUCUUAUGUUCAUAUUUUCUUGUAAAUUCUUAAUUAUAUUAGUAAUAGCUGUUUUAAUGGUUUUUUUUGUGCUAAUUCCAUGAUCUCUGUCAUUUCUGAUUCUAUUGACUGAUUUUUCUUCUGGUAUGGAUCAUAUUUUGUUGAAUCUUCAUGUGUCUAGUAAUUUUUUAUUGUAUAGUUGUAACUGCUACAUUGCUUAGUAUCUUGAUGUUGUGAAGUUGUUUCCUUCUUUUACACAGUGUUGA
rnacentral:lncRNA from 1 species